CAACUCUAUGCGGUGGAUCACUCGGCUCGUGC
rnacentral:rRNA from 1 species